ACCAACUCGAUUGCAUAGACUUUAGAUAACCAUGUGAAGGGGAUUCUACUAUCAGAAAAGAGGCCAAACUUCUAUCACCAUGGUGGAUGUGAAGUGUCUGAGUGACUGUAAAUUGCAGAACCAACUUGAGAAGCUUGGAUUUUCACCUGGCCCAAUACUACUGGCCUGAGGCUUCCACCACUAAACCCAAAGCUGUAGAUAACUAUUGCUUGGAUUAUAAGCCUUCCAAGGGAAGAAGGUGGGCUGCAAGAGCACCAAGCACCAGAAUCACAUAUGGGACUAUCACCAAAGAGAGAGACUACUGCGCGGAAGACCAGACUAUCGAGAGCUGGAGAGAAGAAGGUUUCCCGGUGGGCUUGAAGCUUGCUGUGCUUGGUAUUUUCAUCAUUGUGGUGUUUGUCUACCUGACUGUGGAAAAUAAGUCGCUGUUUGGUUAAGUAAUUUAGGAGCAAAGCAAUGCUCCAAGCGAGGCCUCCUGCUUCAGGAAAGAACCAAAACACUACCCCGAAGGGCCAGCCUAGCCUGCAGCCCUCCCUUGCAGGGAGCCUUCCCUUGCACGGUGCUGCUCUCACAGAUCGGUAUCUGGGCUCAGCCAGGUGGAAGGAACCAGUGGGAGAACCAGGCACCUGUGUUAAGAGCGUGAUGGUUAGGAAAUCCCCCAAGUCAUGUCAACUCUCAUUAAAGGUGCUUCCGUAUCUGAGCAGGCGUCAAACAAGGAAA
rnacentral:sRNA from 1 species